GCUUAGAUAGAUCAGAUGUCUCCUGAUUUUGCAAAAGAACCAAAAAUAACAAUAAUUAGUCAAACUGAAGGUCCAGUGAUGCCAUUGCCUCAUAGCAUUUUUGUAUGUAGUUGGACUCCUUUAUUAAGGAGAUAUUCUCUGGUGGGAGGAGUUGUUCCUGAUCGAGAGCCUGCCCUGUGCUAUCCUCAUUGCCCCACACUAGCUCCUAGGGGAACAACAGCAUUUCCAGAAGCUCAGAUGUAUGAUGAAUCCGGCAGCACUGCUUAACAGCUGUGAAUCAGCUUGAAAACGUCCAGCGCACAAGCAUUUGCUGUGUGGUCUGCAAACCUGCACGACUUCUGCACCUCAACAUCUGCCGUCCGUGGGCUCCCCCAACAGAGCCCUGUCGAUUCCCCUCUGUGGCCCGUGGCACACACCGGGAAAUCUGGAAUCGCAGUUCCCA